rnacentral:rRNA from 1 species
CGGUGAAUACGUUCCCGGGCCUUGUACACACCGCCCGUCACACCAUGGGAGUGGGUUGCACCAGAAGUAGCUAGUCUAACCUUCGGGAGGACGGUUACCACGGUGUGAUUCAUGACUGGGGUGAAGUCGUAACAAGGUAGCCGUAGGGGAACCUGCGGCUGGAUCACCUCCUUA